AUUCAAAAUUUUUUUCAUGACAUAUUUAUUUUUAAAAAUACAAAGUAGAAAGGAUAAAAAAGAUUGAGAAUAAGUUCUUAAAAUUAUUAUUAAAUUAUGGUUAUCGAGAAAUAGUAAUAGAAAUAAAUUUAAGAUUUCUCUUGUGAUAUUAUUAUAUUCUCUCGUAUACUACACAGAUAACGAUAUAAAUUACGUUUGGAUUCUUUAAUACGGUAAAACCGAAGAAUGAUUCGUAAAUCGUCCUAAGAAUUCGAAAAAGAAGGACAUCGAGAAGAUAGGCAAAUCGAGAAAUCUAUAAUCGAGAAGGAAGUAAACGUGUUUAGUAAUAAUGUAAUAAUGUGAUGUGCUUGUGGCAUAAUGCCAAGCUACGAGAAUGUGGACAGAAAAAAGAAGACAAGCUGACGUUUCUGUUUCGCCAUGUACACACUGCGAUAGAGGUUAGGUUAGGUUAGUACGUACACGAUCGUUGAAUCGUCAGUUUGUUUGCUCAGCUUCUAACGAAGAGGGGAUUAAACGCUUCGCUGUUUGCACUUUAUUGUACUUGAACAUCAAAUGAAAUAUUACCAAACGAGAAGUUGCUUAUCAUUUCAAAAGAAGAUUCGAGAUUUCGAAUCGAAAUGAACAAUCAAAGAUCAAUCAAACAGUUUACAAAGUGGAAUUCUACAUUGGAAUUAUAUAUCAUCGACAAGCUUGCGGAAGUAAAGCUUCAAUGUUUCUCUGAUCGACUCGAUUGCAUAAAGUGAAGCAAGCUGAAUCGAAAGCAAUGGAACGAAACGAAGUACUGAGCGCAAAAACUACCCGGAAGUCGAGGUGAAACGAGGUAUUCGUUACUCGCGUCUCUAUUUGCAAUUACACGCUCAUCAUGUACCAUGGAAUGACUUGCCGAUAUUGCAAAUAGUUAUUCAACGAAAGGGAAUGGAAUGAGAACUACUCUCCCCGGGAUAGGGAAAUAAUUGAAUUGAUGAAAAAGGAAAACAAACGAUUAAAAUCGUGACAAUUCUCUUCUGUUUACCAUCCAAUUUUUCGUAAUUCGAACAUGACAAUUUUUAAGAUUGAAAUGAACCAUUAAAGUAUUUUUAUUUCAUAAAAAAUUGACAUUGACUUUUAUUCAAUUUAUAAAUUGUAAUUAACUAACUAUGCUAAUAUCAGUAUGAAAAAAUUAUAAUAAUAUAUAUUUGCUAUUGACUUUUGCAGUCAAUGAAAA